rnacentral:lncRNA from 1 species
CUCUAACAUUAAAUAUUUGAUAUAAAAUGUCUACAUUUUAUCUUUUCCUAUAAUGUAAAAAGAGACAAAAUAUAGUAAUGCCAAGAAACAAAUGAAGUCUUUAAAGAAUGUUAAAUUUCGGCUGGGCGCGGUGGCUCACGCCUGUAAUCCCAGCACUCUGGGAGGCCAAGGCAGGCGGAUUGCUUGAGGUCAGGAGUUCGAAACCAGCCUGAGCAAGAGCGAGACCCUGUCUCUACUAUAAAUAGAAAGAAAUUAAUUGGCCAACUAAUAUAUAGAGAAAAAAUUAGCUGGGCAUGGUGGCACAUGCCUGUAGUCCCAGCUACUUGGGAGGCUGGGGCAGGAGGAUCGCUUGAGCCCAGGAGUUUGAGGCUGCUGUGAGCUAAGCUGAUGCCACGGCACUCACUCUAGCCUGGGCAACAAAGCAAGACUCUGUCUCAAAAAAAAAAAAACAAGAAUGUUAAAUUUCUUAGGCUAUUUUCUAUGUCUUAAAACUUAAAAAGCUGUAGUUACCAUGCACUAGGAAAGUCUCAAUUUUUUUUUUUUUUAGGGUUGGCCCUAUUAGGAUCUACUAAAAUUUGGAAUAGUCACUGAUCCAGUUGGAUACAAUGAAUAUCAAUGACAAUGAUCAGCAGAAGACAAGUUUAAAAUUUGCUAUGUAUUGUGGAAUUCAGAAAAAAACAAAAACCAGUAAUGUGUGUUUCAGAAACUUUCAAAGUUCCAAGAAGCUUCUUUUACUUGGCUCCAAAGGAAUGGAAGCACUCUGUCCUCUCCAUCCCCAGCAAGACAAACCAGGUGAAGCACUCACCUCAUGUUGCACUACAGAUGACAUGAUGGCAGUGAAGCCCAUGGGCUCGUGUGAGUGGAAACCUGGUGAUGCCACCAGGCCUGGGACUACAGUGAGAGAGAAUGAAAGGCUCUUAAUGUAAGCACACGUGGAACUUUUAUAAAGUAUUUGGAUGGGGUAGUUCAUGAAAGAAUGGGCUUCUUAUAACAAAGAGUGUGGGGAUUUGGAGCAUUUUGAUUUUAUUAAUAAUAUAAUUAAAUUCCACAAGGAAUAAAGACUAAAUUUUCAGACACACAGUAGUUGCUCAAUACAUUAUUGUUGAAUGAAAGAUUUAUUAAUUUUAUUGAUCCAUUAGAGACUACUUACUCUAUAUCCUUUCCUUAUUUCAUCCAGAGAAUAUAGAAAUUAAAUGAAGGAAAAAAAUAGGUAAUCACAAUAAAUUAAAGAAAAUUGCUGGGGAAGUAAAACAUUUCAAAUCUAGACAACCACAGGCUCAUUUGAAAUAAUUGACUAAAAAAACUUAUUCAAUGCCACAAAACCUGAUUCAAAGUAUCACAAUGUUGUUUCCAUUUACUUGUAAAAUUGGAAAUGAAGCUGAUAUCAGAAUGUACUGGGCAGUUAAUGCCAUCUUCCAGUCCAAUUCUUUUUUUUUAAUUUUGGACAUUGCUGACUUUUAUACUGUAUAUACUUGAUUUUGUCUAUUCAGGUAAAUAAGAGUUAAUAGUGAGAGUGUGAAUUUGGCCCCAGUAGAUAAUUAGUAUAAUCUGUUAUGUAUGAAAGCUGGAUUGGCAGGACUUUGAUUUUAAUAAUGCCCAUGGUAUCAAAUCAACAAUUUGUCAUUAUGGCCACAAAAUGCACAGAUGGACAAAUACUCAUUCCUCAUUUUGUAAUUCAUUUGUUUUUCCAAAAGAAUCCAC